CCUACGGGAGGCAGCAGUGAGGAAUAUUGGUCAAUGGGCGCGAGCCUGAACCAGCCAAGUAGCGUGAAGGAUGACUGCUCUACGGGUUGAAAACUUCUUUUAUAAAGGAAUAGAGUGAGGCACGUGUGCCUUUUUGCAUGUACUUACUGAAUAAGGAUAGGCUAACUCCGUGCCAGCAGCCGCGGUAAUACGGAGGAUCCGAGCGUUAUCCGGAUUUAGUGGGUUUAAAGGGAGCGUAGAUGGGUUGUUAAGUCAGUUGUGAAAGUUUGCGGCUCAACCGCAAAAUUGCAAUUGAUACUGGCAGCCUUGAGUACAGUUGAGGUAGGCGGAAUUCGUGGUGUAGCGGUGAAAUGCUUAGAUAUCACGAAGAACUCCGAUUGCGAAGGCAGCUUACUAAACUGCCACUGACAUUGAUGCUCGAAAGUGUGGGUAUCAAACAGGAUUAGAUACCCCAGUAGUC
rnacentral:rRNA from 1 species